CAGAACUGAUGGAGCCGAGGCUCAAGAGGAAACUUUCCAUUGCUUCAGAAGUUAAAAGCAAAUCUCAAGAAUGGGGUGUCUGGAUGUAGAGCACAUGUGAACUCUUACUGUAACACUUUCAAAUACUCCUCCUACUGGUCUCCUCUAGAUAAGGCUGAACUGAGAAUACUAAGUGAUACAUUGUAGUUUACCAGGCAUACCAUUUUCACAUCAAGAUUUUUAGUAGCUGUGAAAGUGAAAAUUACUCCAACAGCAAGUGGAAGCAUGAGAUAAAAGU